rnacentral:rRNA from 1 species
UACGUAGGGUGCAGGCGUUAAUCGGAAUUACUGGGCGUAAAGCGUGCGCAGGCGGCUCCUUAAGUCAGAUGUGAAAGCCCCGGGCUUAACCCGGGAACUGCGUUUGAAACUGGGGAGCUAGAGUGUGGAAGAGGGGGGUGGAAUUCCAGGUGUAGCAGUGAAAUGCGUAGAGAUCUGGAGGAACACCGAUGGCGAAGGGAGCCCCCGGGGCUAACACUGACGGUCAUGCGCGAAAGCGUGGGGAGCAAACAGG